UACGUAGGGUGCAAGCGUUGUCCGGAAUUAUUGGGCGUAAAGAGCUCGUAGGCGGUUUGUCGCGUCUGCUGUGAAAACUCGGGGCUUAACUCCGGGCCUGCAGUGGGUACGGGCAGACUAGAGUGCGGUAGGGGAGACUGGAAUUCCUGGUGUAGCGGUGAAAUGCGCAGAUAUCAGGAGGAACACCGGUGGCGAAGGCGGGUCUCUGGGCAUCUCCUGACGCUGAGGCGCGAAAGCGUGGGGAGCAAACGGG
rnacentral:rRNA from 1 species